GUACUUCCUGUAUACUUUCUAUGACUUGAGGGCUUUGAGGACCUCCACCUCGCUGGAGACUCCAGAUGGUGGCGGGGCCUGCCUUUUCACAACUGUCAUCCUGAGACUGCGUUCGUGACGAGACACCAAACACUCCAGGCAUCAUUGUGGGCACCACGUCGUAUCGACGCUCCCCCCCAACCAUGUCAGCUUUGAAGGAUCCCGGGAUAUUUCCUCUACUUCUCAACAAGCUGACGAGGCGACGUCAACGUCUGUCAGAGG